CUUCUCUAUUUUUUGUGUAUCUUCAAGUGUUCAAUUACUACUCUAUUUAUAGAGUUUUGAACCUCUUGAUUACAUCAUUAGUGACAUAAAUGUGGCAGCCAAUUUUCACAAAAUUUGGCUGCCAAACUCUACCAACUUCCACAAAUGUGGCCACCAACUUUCACAUUUUGGCUAUCAAAUUUCACAUUUGUGGCUAGUA
rnacentral:lncRNA from 1 species